GCAAUCAAGUGCCUUAAGGGUGUUCGGUGGAUGCCUUGGCGCUGAGAGGCGAUGAAGGACGUGCUACGCUGCGAUAAGCCGUGGGGAGCUGCGAAGAAGCUUUGAUCCAUGGAUUUCCGAAUGGGGAAACCCACCUUCGAUAGCCGGAACUCCAAGACCUCAGUCGAAAGACUGUGGUGUGGGGUUCGAACAGAAAUGUGAGAUGCCUAAGCCUUUAGAUUUCGAUCGAAGAGGUUUUGGAUUUCCGGUUAUCAAAAGAAGGUAUGAGACUUCUGAAUACAUAGGAGGUUUCAAGCAAACCCAGGGAACUGAAACAUCUAAGUACCUGGAGGAAAGGACAUCAACAGAG
rnacentral:rRNA from 7 species